AUAUCUUUCUGUACGGGAAGGAUGAGAAGCUUCGACUAAGGUUCGAUUCGAGCGCAGCGAGAAAGCGUUGCCGCAGGCAACGACCCGAAGGGCGAAGCGCGCAGCGCUGAGUCAUCCUUCCCCCACCAC
rnacentral:sRNA from 1 species